UACGUAGGGACCAAGCGUUGUUCGGAUUUACUGGGCGUAAAGGGCGCGUAGGCGGCGUGGUAAGUCACUUGUGAAAUCUCUGAGCUUAACUCAGAACGGCCAAGUGAUACUGCUGUGCUAGAGUGCAGAAGGGGCAAUCGGAAUUCUUGGUGUAGCGGUGAAAUGCGUAGAUAUCAAGAGGUACACCUGAGGUGAAGACGGGUUGCUGGGCUGACACUGACGCUGAGGCGCGAAAGCCAGGGGAGCAAACGGG
rnacentral:rRNA from 1 species